CAGCCGUAAACUAUGCUCGCUAGGUGUCAGGCAUGGCGCGACCGUGUCUGGUGCCGCAGGGAAGCCGUGAAGCGAGCCACCUGGGAAGUACGGCCGCAAGGCUGAAACUUAAAGGAAUUGGCGGGGGAGCACAACAACGGGUGGAGCCUGCGGUUUAAUUGGACUCAACGCCGGGAAGCUCACCGGAUAAGACAGCGGAAUGAUUGCUGGGCUGAAGACUCUGCAUGACUAGCUGAGAGGAGGUGCAUGGCGUAGACGUCU
rnacentral:rRNA from 1 species